UUUUUUCCCCGAAUUCAAGUUUAUCUAAUUCAAAACGAAUUGAAAGAAGCGUGUAAUCCAAUCUUUACGCAAUUUCGGGAAGCAAACCGUGUCCAAUUCCAGAUGUUUCACUCAUUUUAUUGUCUCUUUUUUCUUUCCA
ensembl:ncRNA C06E7.89 ncRNA